rnacentral:rRNA from 1 species
GGUUAAGCGACUAAGCGUACACGGUGGAUGCCCUGGCAGUCAGAGGCGAUGAAGGGCGUGCUAAUCUGCGAUAAGCGCCGGUAAGGUGAUAUGAACCGUUAUAACCGGCGAUACCCGAAUGGGGAAACCCAGUGUGAUUCGUCACACUAUCAUUAACUGAAUCCAUAGGUUAAUGAGGCGAACCGGGGGAACUGAAACAUCUAAGUACCCCGAGGAAAAGAAAUCAACCGAGAUUCCCCCAGUAGCGGCGAGCGAACGGGGAGGAGCCCAGAGCCUGAAUCAGCAUGUGUGUUAGUGGAAGCGUCUGGAAAGGCGCGCGAUACAGGGUGACAGCCCCGUACACAAAAGCGCAUGUGCUGUGAGCUCGAUGAGUAGGGCGGGACACGUGGUAUCCUGUCUGAAUAUGGGGGGACCAUCCUCCAAGGCUAAAUACUCCUGACUGACCGAUAGUGAACCAGUACCGUGAGGGAAAGGCGAAAAGAACCCCGGCGAGGGGAGUGAAAAAGAACCUGAAACCGUGUACGUACAAGCAGUGGGAGCACAGGUUUACCUGUGUGACUGCGUACCUUUUGUAUAAUGGGUCAGCGACUUAUAUUCUGUAGCAAGGUUAACCGUAUAGGGGAGCCGGAGGGAAACCGAGUCUUAAUUGGGCGUUAAGUUGCAGGGUAUAGACCCGAAACCCGGUGAUCUAGCCAUGGGCAGGUUGAAGGUUGGGUAACACUAACUGGAGGACCGAACCGACUAAUGUUGAAAAAUUAGCGGAUGACCUGUGGCUGGGGGUGAAAGGCCAAUCAAACCGGGAGAUAGCUGGUUCUCCCCGAAAGCUAUUUAGGUAGCGCCUCGUGAAUUCAUCUCCGGGGGUAGAGCACUGUUUCGGCUAGGGGGCCAUCCCGGCUUACCAACCCGAUGCAAACUGCGAAUACCGGAGAAUGUUAUCACGGGAGACACACGGCGGGUGCUAACGUCCGUCGUGAAGAGGGAAACAACCCAGACCGCCAGCUAAGGUCCCAAAGUCAUGGUUAAGUGGGAAACGAUGUGGGAAGGCCCAGACAGCCAGGAUGUUGGCUUAGAAGCAGCCAUCAUUUAAAGAAAGCGUAAUAGCUCACUGGUCGAGUCGGCCUGCGCGGAAGAUGUAACGGGGCUAAACCAUGCACCGAAGCUGCGGCAGCGACACUGUGUGUUGUUGGGUAGGGGAGCGUUCUGUAAGCCUGUGAAGGUGGCCUGUGAGGGUUGCUGGAGGUAUCAGAAGUGCGAAUGCUGACAUAAGUAACGAUAAAGCGGGUGAAAAGCCCGCUCGCCGGAAGACCAAGGGUUCCUGUCCAACGUUAAUCGGGGCAGGGUGAGUCGACCCCUAAGGCGAGGCCGAAAGGCGUAGUCGAUGGGAAACGGGUUAAUAUUCCCGUACUUGGUGUUACUGCGAAGGGGGGACGGAGAAGGCUAUGUUGGCCGGGCGACGGUUGUCCCGGUUUAAGCGUGUAGGCUGGUUUUCCAGGCAAAUCCGGAAAAUCAAGGCUGAGGCGUGAUGACGAGGCACUACGGUGCUGAAGCAACAAAUGCCCUGCUUCCAGGAAAAGCCUCUAAGCAUCAGGUAACAUCAAAUCGUACCCCAAACCGACACAGGUGGUCAGGUAGAGAAUACCAAGGCGCUUGAGAGAACUCGGGUGAAGGAACUAGGCAAAAUGGUGCCGUAACUUCGGGAGAAGGCACGCUGACACGUAGGUGAAGUGAUUUACUCAUGGAGCUGAAGUCAGUCGAAGAUACCAGCUGGCUGCAACUGUUUAUUAAAAACACAGCACUGUGCAAACACGAAAGUGGACGUAUACGGUGUGACGCCUGCCCGGUGCCGGAAGGUUAAUUGAUGGGGUCAGCGCAAGCGAAGCUCCUGAUCGAAGCCCCGGUAAACGGCGGCCGUAACUAUAACGGUCCUAAGGUAGCGAAAUUCCUUGUCGGGUAAGUUCCGACCUGCACGAAUGGCGUAAUGAUGGCCAGGCUGUCUCCACCCGAGACUCAGUGAAAUUGAACUCGCUGUGAAGAUGCAGUGUACCCGCGGCAAGACGGAAAGACCCCGUGAACCUUUACUAUAGCUUGACACUGAACAUUGAGCCUUGAUGUGUAGGAUAGGUGGGAGGCUUUGAAGUGUGGACGCCAGUCUGCAUGGAGCCGACCUUGAAAUACCACCCUUUAAUGUUUGAUGUUCUAACGUGGACCCGUAAUCCGGGUUGCGGACAGUGUCUGGUGGGUAGUUUGACUGGGGCGGUCUCCUCCUAAAGAGUAACGGAGGAGCACGAAGGUUGGCUAAUCCUGGUCGGACAUCAGGAGGUUAGUGCAAUGGCAUAAGCCAGCUUGACUGCGAGCGUGACGGCGCGAGCAGGUGCGAAAGCAGGUCAUAGUGAUCCGGUGGUUCUGAAUGGAAGGGCCAUCGCUCAACGGAUAAAAGGUACUCCGGGGAUAACAGGCUGAUACCGCCCAAGAGUUCAUAUCGACGGCGGUGUUUGGCACCUCGAUGUCGGCUCAUCACAUCCUGGGGCUGAAGUAGGUCCCAAGGGUAUGGCUGUUCGCCAUUUAAAGUGGUACGCGAGCUGGGUUUAGAACGUCGUGAGACAGUUCGGUCCCUAUCUGCCGUGGGCGCUGGAGAACUGAGGGGGGCUGCUCCUAGUACGAGAGGACCGGAGUGGACGCAUCACUGGUGUUCGGGUUGUCAUGCCAAUGGCACUGCCCGGUAGCUAAAUGCGGAAGAGAUAAGUGCUGAAAGCAUCUAAGCACGAAACUUGCCCCGAGAUGAGUUCUCCCUGAGACUUAGAGUCUCCUGAAGGAACGUUGAAGACGACGACGUUGAUAGGCCGGGUGUGUAAGCGCAGCGAUGCGUUGAGCUAACCGGUACUAAUGAACCGUGAGGCUUAACCUU